AUGAAGCUCAAUGUAGAUGCGGCGGUGGCAUCAUGGCGGGGAGUAGGAGCAGUGGGUGCAAUAUGCAGAGAUAGGAGCGGCAGUUUCCAGGGUGCCUCGGUGAUCGUUUUCAGAGGUAUAAUCGACUCCACUACGCUUGAGGCGCUAGCGCUGAGGGAAGCUUUGGCACUCGCGGAAGAUUUGAACGUCUCCGUUAUCCAGGUGGCCUCAGACUGCUCGGUGGUGAUAGAUGACAUUAAGAGAAAGAGUGGAGCAGAAUAUGGAGCAAUCGUGCAAGAGAUUAGAGAGUAUGCUAAGAAUUUUGCUUUAUGUAAUUUUGUUCAUGAGUUUAGAAGCUCGAAUUUCGAAGCUCACAAUCUAGCGAGACAUGCACUACAGCGGGGACCUCCAUUUCGUCCCUAUAAACAUGGUGACGUCUUAAUAAAGUUUCGCUGGUUGUCUCAAAAAAAAGGAACUCCCACACGGAUCUUUGUUGGACUAAUAACUUUAGCUUCUCAUUAUGCAUGA
rnacentral:rRNA from 1 species